GCGAGGGGAGUGAAAAAGAACCUGAAACCGUGUACGUACAAGCAGUGGGAGCACCCUUUGGGGUGUGACUGCGUACCUUUUGUAUAAUGGGUCAGCGACUUAUAUUCUGUAGCAAGGUUAACCGAAUAGGGGAGCCGGAGGGAAACCGAGUCUUAACCGGGCGUUAAGUUGCAGGGUAUAGACCCGAAACCCGGUGAUCUAGCCAUGGGCAGGUUGAAGGUUGGGUAACACUAACUGGAGGACCGAACCGACUAAUGUUGAAAAAUUAGCGGAUGACCUGUGGCUGGGGGUGAAAGGCCAAUCAAACCGGGAGAUAGCUGGUUCUCCCCGAAAGCUAUUUAGGUAGCGCCUCGUGAAUUCAUCUCCGGGGGUAGAGCACUGUUUCGGCUAGGGGGCCAUCCCGGCUUACCAACCCGAUGCAAACUGCGAAUACCGGAGAAUGUUAUCACGGGAGACACACGGCGGGUGCUAACGUCCGUCGUGAAGAGGGAAACAACCCAGACCGCCAGCUAAGGUCCCAAAGUCAUGGUUAAGUGGGAAACGAUGUGGGAAGGCCCAGACAGCCAGGAUGUUGGCUUAGAAGCAGCCAUCAUUUAAAGAAAGCGUAAUAGCUCACUGGUCGAGUCGGCCUGCGCGGAAGAUGUAACGGGGCUAAACCAUGCACCGAAGCUGCGGCAGCGACGCUGAUGCGUUGUUGGGUAGGGGAGCGUUCUGUAAGCCUGCGAAGGUGGCCUGUGAGGGUUGCUGGAGGUAUCAGAAGUGCGAAUGCUGACAUAAGUAACGAUAAAGCGGGUGAAAAGCCCGCUCGCCGGAAGACCAAGGGUUCCUGUCCAACGUUAAUCGGGGCAGGGUGAGUCGACCCCUAAGGCGAGGCCGAAAGGCGUAGUCGAUGGGAAACGGGUUAAUAUUCCCGUACUUGGUGUUACUGCGAAGGGGGGACGGAGAAGGCUAUGUUGGCCGGGCGACGGUUGUCCCGGUUUAAGCGUGUAGGUGUGUGUUCCAGGUAAAUCCGGUUCACUUUAACACUGAGGCGUGAUGACGAGGCACUACGGUGCUGAAGCAACAAAUGCCCUGCUUCCAGGAAAAGCCUCUAAGCAUCAGGUAACAUCAAAUCGUACCCCAAACCGACACAGGUGGUCAGGUAGAGAAUACCAAGGCGCUUGAGAGAACUCGGGUGAAGGAACUAGGCAAAAUGGUGCCGUAACUUCGGGAGAAGGCACGCUGACACGUAGGUGAAGUGAUUUACUCAUGGAGCUGAAGUCAGUCGAAGAUACCAGCUGGCUGCAACUGUUUAUUAAAAACACAGCACUGUGCAAACACGAAAGUGGACGUAUACGGUGUGACGCCUGCCCGGUGCCGGAAGGUUAAUUGAUGGGGUCAGCGCAAGCGAAGCUCCUGAUCGAAGCCCCGGUAAACGGCGGCCGUAACUAUAACGGUCCUAAGGUAGCGAAAUUCCUUGUCGGGUAAGUUCCGACCUGCACGAAUGGCGUAAUGAUGGCCAGGCUGUCUCCACCCGAGACUCAGUGAAAUUGAACUCGCUGUGAAGAUGCAGUGUACCCGCGGCAAGACGGAAAGACCCCGUGAACCUUUACUAUAGCUUGACACUGAACAUUGAGCCUUGAUGUGUAGGAUAGGUGGGAGGCUUUGAAGUGUGGACGCCAGUCUGCAUGGAGCCGACCUUGAAAUACCACCCUUUAAUGUUUGAUGUUCUAACGUGGACCCGUGAUCCGGGUUGCGGACAGUGUCUGGUGGGUAGUUUGACUGGGGCGGUCUCCUCCUAAAGAGUAACGGAGGAGCACGAAGGUUGGCUAAUCCUGGUCGGACAUCAGGAGGUUAGUGCAAUGGCAUAAGCCAGCUUGACUGCGAGCGUGACGGCGCGAGCAGGUGCGAAAGCAGGUCAUAGUGAUCCGGUGGUUCUGAAUGGAAGGGCCAUCGCUCAACGGAUAAAAGGUACUCCGGGGAUAACAGGCUGAUACCGCCCAAGAGUUCAUAUCGACGGCGGUGUUUGGCACCUCGAUGUCGGCUCAUCACAUCCUGGGGCUGAAGUAGGUCCCAAGGGUAUGGCUGUUCGCCAUUUAAAGUGGUACGCGAGCUGGGUUUAGAACGUCGUGAGACAGUUCGGUCCCUAUCUGCCGUGGGCGCUGGAGAACUGAGGGGGGCUGCUCCUAGUACGAGAGGACCGGAGUGGACGCAUCACUGGUGUUCGGGUUGUCAUGCCAAUGGCACUGCCCGGUAGCUAAAUGCGGAAGAGAUAAGUGCUGAAAGCAUCUAAGCACGAAACUUGCCCCGA
rnacentral:rRNA from 1 species